GUUAAGGUUAGGGAUCAGGUCGGCAGCGCGGUUAAGGUUAGGGAUCAGGUCGGCAGCGUGGUUAAGGUUAGGGAUCAGGUCGGCAGCGUGGUUAAGGUUAGCGAUCAGGUCGGCAGCGUGGUUAAGGUUAGGGAUCAGGUCGGAGAGUGGUUAAGGUUAGGGAUCAGGUCGGCAGCGUGGCUAAGGUUAGGGAUCAGGUCGGCAGUGUGGCUAAGG